AACAGAAACAAAGAUUUGAAAAAUCUGAUGGAACAAAAAGCAAAAGCAGCCAUUGUCGGGUAAAGUUAGAUUCUCCCCACAUGAACGGUAGUGAAUAGUGGAAGGAAUAUGUUCUCUGAGUAAUGAGCAGUCUAAUCUGCUUUGAUAAAAAAAAAAAAAAAAGCUGAUUCACUCUUGCUUUCUUAUUAGCGUGGCCAGUAAUGCUACAUUAGAUCGUGAUUACUCUGAAAUACCCUAAUCCGUUUAUAUGUAACACCACGUUACAAGUAACCAUCCCAAACCUCAUUCCACGCGCGAGUCAAAGUUUGAUCUAAAGAAAAAUGAGGUACCCUUCUUGUGGCAUUCAGUGUAUAUAUGUAGUACCAACAGGUCGAAAAUGAUUAUAUAUAUAUAUAUAUAUAUAUAUAUAUAUAUAUAUAUCACCAAUAGAGAAAACCAAUAAUUAAGAACUAGUUUAAGACUUUUGACCCAACAAAAAAUAAUAAUUAGUGGUUGAAAAAGAUUACAAUGUCAAGACAAGCUGUUUCCAACUAUACCUAAAAGAUUACAAUGUCAAGAUGUGGUUGUAAAAAUGAUUUUCAUCUUUUUUUUUUUCCGCCAAGGUGUUGUUUAAAUUAAUCCAACGGGCCAAGCCCAGACGUCCGAAGCCCAAUUACACAAAGAGCUAACAAAAAAACGACCCACAAACGAAAUGGGCUACAGCAAUAACGGCCGAAGCCCAAGAAAAGCAGACGGCCCAAAAGCCCAAACAAUUAACCCGAACAGCUUGCCCUCGGGUCGCGACAAGGAGGCUGGGAAUUGCACACGUGUAAUAAUUCUAUACAAUACAAGUAUAGAAGACACACCAAGAACUCUUCUUGUUUGACAGAAGAAUGAGAUUUUUUUCUUACAUAUAGGUUAAAACUAAUGAAACUAAUAUAUUUUAAUUAUCUGAAAUUCUUAUUUAUGGUCAAACGUUUAGUUUCUAGUUGGUGCACACGACGUCAGAAAUUAUUCUCCAUCUCCAAAUCUCAUUGCCUAGUCCAAAAUUGAGAAAGAUUACAUAAUAUUCAGAUAUAUCAUAGGUUGAAAAUUUGAUGUAGACCUAUUAUUAUUGU